rnacentral:rRNA from 1 species
GAUUCGUCACACUAUCAUUAACUGAAUCCAUAGGUUAAUGAGGCGAACCGGGGGAACUGAAACAUCUAAGUACCCCGAGGAAAAGAAAUCAACCGAGAUUCCCCCAGUAGCGGCGAGCGAACGGGGAGGAGCCCAGAGCCUGAAUCAGUGUGUGUGUUAGUGGAAGCGUCUGGAAAGGCGCGCGAUACAGGGUGACAGCCCCGUACACAAAAAUGCACAUGCUGUGAGCUCGAUGAGUAGGGCGGGACACGUGGUAUCCUGUCUGAAUAUGGGGGGACCAUCCUCCAAGGCUAAAUACUCCUGACUGACCGAUAGUGAACCAGUACCGUGAGGGAAAGGCGAAAAGAACCCCGGCGAGGGGAGUGAAAAAGAACCUGAAACCGUGUACGUACAAGCAGUGGGAGCCUCUUUAUGGGGUGACUGCGUACCUUUUGUAUAAUGGGUCAGCGACUUAUAUUCUGUAGCAAGGUUAACCGAAUAGGGGAGCCGAAGGGAAACCGAGUCUUAACUGGGCGUUAAGUUGCAGGGUAUAGACCCGAAACCCGGUGAUCUAGCCAUGGGCAGGUUGAAGGUUGGGUAACACUAACUGGAGGACCGAACCGACUAAUGUUGAAAAAUUAGCGGAUGACUUGUGGCUGGGGGUGAAAGGCCAAUCAAACCGGGAGAUAGCUGGUUCUCCCCGAAAGCU